rnacentral:rRNA from 1 species
AGUGAACGCUGGCGGCAGGCCUAACACAUGCAAGUCGAGCGGCAGCGGGUCCCCGCGAGGGGAUGCCGGCGAGCGGCGGACGGGUGAGGAACACAUCGGAAUCUGCCUGGUUGUGGGGGAUAACGUAGGGAAACUUACGCUAAUACCGCAUGCGACCCUGAGUCGACGGACUGGGGGUGAAAGUGAGGGACCUUCGGGCCUCACGCGACCAGAUGAGCCGAUGUCGGAUAGCUAGUUGGCGGGGUAACGGCCCGCCAAGGCGACGAUCCGUAGCUGGUCUGAGAGGAUGAUCAGCCACACUGGGACUGAGACACGGCCCAGACUCCUACGGGAGGCAGCAGUGGGGAAUCUUGGACAAUGGGCGCAAGCCUGAUCCAGCCAUGCCGCGUGGGUGAAG